rnacentral:tRNA from 1 species
GCCUUCUUAGCUUAGUCGGUAGAGCACCCGCUUAGUAAGCGGGAGGUCGCCGGUUCGAUUCCGGCAGGAGGCU